AUUGAACGCUGGCGGCAGGCCUUACACAUGCAAGUCGAACGGUAACAGGGUGCUUGCACCGCUGACGAGUGGCGAACGGGUGAGUAAUGCGUCGGAACGUGCCGAGUAGUGGGGGAUAACGCAGCGAAAGUUGUGCUAAUACCGCAUACGUACUGAGGUAGAAAGUGGGGGUCCUUCGGGCCUCACGCUAUUCGAGCGGCCGACGUCUGAUUAGCUAGUAGGUGAGGUAAAGGCUCACCUAGGCGACGAUCAGUAGCGGGUCUGAGAGGAUGAUCCGCCACACUGGGACUGAGACACGGCCCAGACUCCUACGGGAGGCAGCAGUGGGGAAUUUUGGACAAUGGGCGAAAGCCUGAUCCAGCCAUGCUGCGUGUCUGAAGAAGGCCUUCGGGUUGUAAGGGACUUUUGUCAGGGAGGAAAUCCCUAGUGCUAAUAACACUGGGGGAUGACAGUACCUGAAGAAUAAGCACCGGCUAACUACGUGCCAGCAGCCGCCGUAA
rnacentral:rRNA from 1 species